rnacentral:rRNA from 1 species
GGCUCAGAUUGAACGCUGGCGGCAUGCCUUACACAUGCAAGUCGAACGGUAACGCGGGGCAACCUGGCGACGAGUGGCGAACGGGUGAGUAAUAUAUCGGAACGUGCCCAGUUGUGGGGGAUAACUGCUCGAAAGAGCAGCUAAUACCGCAUACGACCUGAGGGUGAAAGCGGGGGAUCGCAAGACCUCGCGCAAUUGGAGCGGCCGAUAUCAGAUUAGGUAGUUGGUGGGGUAAAGGCCUACCAAGCCGACGAUCUGUAGCUGGUCUGAGAGGACGACCAGCCACACUGGGACUGAGACACGGCCCAGACUCCUACGGGAGGCAGCAGUGGGGAAUUUUGGACAAUGGGGGCAACCCUGAUCCAGCCAUGCCGCGUGCGGGAAGAAGGCCUUCGGGUUGUAAACCGCUUUUGUCAGGGAAGAAAAGACUCCUACUAA